UACGGAGGAUGCGACCGUUAUCCGGAUUUAUUGGGUUUAAAGGGUGCGUAGGCGGACUGUCAAGUCAGCGGUAAAAUUGAGAGGCUCAACCUCUUCCCGCCGUUGAAACUGGUGGUCUUGAGUGGAUGAGAAGUACGCGGAAUGCGUGGUGUAGCGGUGAAAUGCAUAGAUAUCACGCAGAACUCCGAUUGCGAAGGCAGCGUACCGGCAUCCAACUGACGCUGAGGCACGAAAGCGUGGGGAUCAAACAGG
rnacentral:rRNA from 1 species